rnacentral:rRNA from 1 species
CCUACGGGAGGCAGCAGUGGGGAAUAUUGCACAAUGGGGGAAACCCUGAUGCAGCGACGCCGCGUGAGUGAAGAAGUAUUUCGGGUUGUAAACUUCUUUUGUCAGGGAAGAGUAGAAGACGGUACCUGACGAAUAAGCCACGGCUAACUACGUGCCAGCAGCCGCGGUAAUACGGAGGUGGCAAGCGUUGUCCGGAUUUACUGGGUGUAAAGGUCGUGUAGCCGGGUUGACAAGCCAGAUGUGAAAUCCUGCGGCUUAACCGAAGAACUGCAUCGGAAACUGUUGAUCUUGAGUACUGGGAAGGCAGAUGGAAUUCCUAGUGUAGCGGUGAAAUGCGUAGAUAUUAGGAGGAACCCCAGUGGCGAAGGCAGUCUGCUGGACAGCAACUGACGGUGAGGCGCGAAAGCGUGGGGAGCGAACAGGAUUAGAUACCCCUGUAGUC